AUAAAAAACAAAAGGAAGUCUCCAGCCUACAACACAAACACUACUGGCCCAGGAGAUGUAAACACAGAAGAGAUCAGGGUUUGCAUCCUGCAGUGUCUGAAAAAGCAUCUGACAUAAAGAAUUAUCUUCAUGACAUUAUAAAAGAACUGAAAACAGAAAUCCUAAUACAAGUAAAGGAAUAUAUAAGGAAAAUGAUAAAAGAAAUGCUAAGUACUUCUCAAGACACAGAUGGAAGAAUGGAUGGGCACAGAAAAAGGAGAGAAACCUUUGAUGACGAAUAUAAAAAAAUCUAGAAUACAUGAAACAGAUUCAAAGAGACUACCAGGAAAUUAAAAACUCCAUUGAAAGCUGGUAAACUGCCUGAAAGAAACUAAAGAUAGACUAAAACCUUGAAGACAGGUCUGCAAUGUGUGACUGCAAAAGGAAAGAUCUCUUAAAAAUAACAAGAAACCAGGAAGUAACAAUGCAAAGGCUAGAAGAUGACAAAAGGAUCUAUAACUCAAGAAUAAAAAAUGUGAGUGAAGAAGCAGGAGUAAAGAAAAAUGAAAUACAAAGGCAAUUUUUUCUUUUCUUUUUUUUACCGGUACCAGGGAUCAAACUCAUGGCUGCGCACUUGCAAGGCAGGUGCUUAUGCAACUGAGCUAAAUCCCCAGCCCCAAUACAAAAGCUAUUUAUGGAAAUAAUUAAAGAAAACUUUCCAAGCAUCGGGAAAGGAAAUGUUAUCCAGAUAUAUGAGGCAUACAGAACUCCAGUGAGCUAUAACCAAAAUAGAUCUACACCCAGACAUAUAAUAAAGAUCCCAGAAAUUCAACACAAAACAGAAUUUUUUUGUGUGUUUUUAUCCAUACCAGGGAUUGAACUCACAACUGCACACUUGCAAGGAAGGCACUUAUGGCCUGAGCUAAAUCCCCAGCCCCAUUUUUUUUCCUUUUUUUUUUUUUUAUCGGUACCGGGGAUUGAACUCACGACUGCCUGCUUGCAAGGCAGGCGCUUAUGCCACUGAGCUAAAUCCCCAGCCCCUAAGAACAGAAUAUUAAAAGCUGUCAGAGAAAAGAAACAGAUCACCUAUAAAGGAAAACCCAUCAGAAUCAUGACAGACUUCUCAACACAAACCAUGAAAUCAAGAAGAGCUUGGAGUGAAGUAUUCCAAGCCCUGAAAGAAAACCUCCAACCCAGAUUGAUGUACCCUACAAAACUAUCUUUCAAAAUUAAUGGAGAAACAAGAUGCUCCAUGACAAAUAUGAACUGAGAGAGUUCAUGACCACCUAUCCAACCCUACAAAAAAUACUGAAGGACAUUUUAGAGAGAGAGGAAAAAAACCAUGGUUUUAAGAACAGCAGCAGAGGAGGCUCACUGAGUAGAGCAGACAGUGGAAUGAAGGGGGAAAGUACACAACCAGUGGCAGAAAAAUAGCAUGGCAGAGAUGAGGCAGAGAAGGUUGGCCAUAAUUGCUAACAUGGAUAGCCUUGAUACACUAAUAAACACAGGCAGAGUGGAUCAGGAGGUAGGGUCCGUCAAGAUGCUUUAUAUAAGAAAUAUAUUUAACCUGAAAGAAGGUUUAUGGACUGAAAAUCAAAGAUGAGAAAAUAAUGCUGUAUGUGACAAGGAACCAGAAAAAAGUGAGGGUGGCUCGUCCAUCAGCUAUAGAUUGGUUGGAAAGAUGUAACACUUUUUUUACAAUGGAGAACUACUCGGCUAUAUGGAAGGAAAACAUUGAGGCUCUUGCAGGUAAAUGGAUACAACUUGAGACCAAGCUCAGGGGUACAAAGGUUCAGAACCACUUAGGUGAAUAGCGGGUUGUCUCUCUUAUCUAAAAAUUAAAGGAGUUAGUGAGAUACAAAAUGUACAAUGCACCCUGGGAAAGUGAAAGGGGAAGAAUUGUUUAAAUAUGGAAGGCAGAGGACACUGGUAAUCUUGUAUCAUGAUUUGAAACCCAUAUUGCUUUCAUUGCUCUGUUUAGUUUGUGUCAUGGUUUAUGUCUGUGUCCCCCAGGCCUCAUAAGUUUGCACUGUGCAUUUGUGGUGCUUCAUUGUCUAGUGCUUGGAUUGAUGGUGUUAGUGCUACUGCCACAUAGGGAUGUAACCAGGAUGUGAUGUAAUGGCAGGAAGAAGGUGGUUCCUUUGCUGGUUCCUGCUUGUUUUUGGCAGCUGCCAUGAACUGCGGCCCAGCCAUGCCACCCUGCCUUGGAGCCAACUGAGUGGACUGAAACCUCCAAAAACUGUGGCCCCUCAAGCCUCAUGCAGUCAAGGACAUGGCUGAAUCUAGUGUUCAUGACUGGUAUGUUGUCUAGCACUGGGACUGUUGGUGUGAGUGCUGUACCCGCCCAGGAGUGGAGCCAGCAUACAGGUUAAGGAGCUGACCAGAGCCCCUCGGAUGCUAAGCCAAGCAGCGCUCCCAGCCUCCACAUGCUGCUGCCAGUGGCACCUUCCACUGAGCUGAGCACUCAUCCCGGGAGCUGCUGAGCUGUUCACUUAACCCUGAGGCCUCUGAGAUGCCAAGUGGGGAAGCCCUCCUGUUGUGGUCUGGAGAUGAUCUCUUCCCUACCUAUUCACACAUCAUGAAUUUGGUGCCCUAAGAAAUGAUGCUGAAAGAUGAAGAGAUUUUAAAAGGUCCUGAGAGGCCCAGGCCAGAGCCCCACGGAAGGCAGCAGGCGCUGCUGAAAGCACAUUCAGCCCGCAAGUGCAGGAGACUCCGGCUGCUGCUCAGCUGGCUCCCGCUGCUGCGAGCCUGGCUGCCAGGCACCUGCCGCCUCUCAAAUCAUUAGAAAUUCCAGUCUUCAUUUGAAUGGGAAAAUGAAUUCAGCCUCUAGAACUGAUCAGUCAGCGGGUGAUGCAGAAGUAACUUUGGAUUUGUUUCUACUUUUCCCUCUGUUGGGCCGAUUGCUAUAAUAGGUCUUUUCAACUGAGAGAUCACAUUCCCCUUUAGAAGUUGCUCUAGGUCUCCAUAUUUUAUUAUGAAGCUUAAUUAAAAUGUAA